UUAUGGCUCAGGAUGAACGCUAGCGACAGGCUAACACAUGCAAGUCGAGGGGCAGCAUAAAAGUAGCAAUACUUUGGUGGCGACCGGCGCACGGGUGAGUAACGCGUAUGCAACCUACCUAUCAGAGGGGAAUAACCCGGCGAAAGUCGGACUAAUACCGCAUAAAACAGGGGCACCGCAUGGUGAUAUUUGUUAAAGAAAUUCGCUGAUAGAUGGGCAUGCGUUCCAUUAGGUAGUUGGUGAGGUAACGGCUCACCAAGCCGACGAUGGAUAGGGGAACUGAGAGGUUGGUCCCCCACACUGGUACUGAGACACGGACCAGACUCCUACGGGAGGCAGCAGUGAGGAAUAUUGGUCAAUGGGCGGGAGCCUGAACCAGCCAAGUCGCCGUGAAGGAAGAAGGAUCUAUGGUUCGUAAACUUCUUUUGCAGGGGAAUAAAGUGCAGGACGUGUCCUGUUUUGUAUGUACCCUGAGAAUAAGGAUCGGCUAACUCCGUGCCAGCCGCCGC
rnacentral:rRNA from 1 species